UGCAACAAGCGCUUCGCAUCCACCCGCGCCAAGUGUUUCGCCCUGGAGACGGGAAGUUAAUCUAGGAAGUGUGGGUCAGGCUGGGAUAAUCAGACAGCCACUCUACUGGACACUGUUGCAGUCAGGAUGAAGAAAAUGCAGCUGCUGCUUUUUCCUGCAUAGUCUUUUCCUGUCCAUCUCCCUCAUUCUUUGGGAAAGAACGCUGCAGAGACUACUCUCAGUCGGUACUUGUCAAGAUGUUGGGCUUGCAACAAUCAAUAGCAGGAUAACACCAGGUAUGUGUGAGACA
rnacentral:lncRNA from 1 species